GACGAACGCUGGCGGCGCGCCUAACACAUGCAAGUCGAACGAGCGAGAGAGAGCUUGCUUUCUCGAGCGAGUGGCGAACGGGUGAGUAACGCGUGAGGAACCUGCCUCAAAGAGGGGGACAACAGUUGGAAACGACUGCUAAUACCGCAUAAGCCCACGGGUCGGCAUCGACCAGAGGGAAAAGGAGCAAUCCGCUUUGAGAUGGCCUCGCGUCCGAUUAGCUAGUUGGUGAGGUAACGGCCCACCAAGGCAACGAUCGGUAGCCGGACUGAGAGGUUGAACGGCCACAUUGGGACUGAGACACGGCCCAGACUCCUACGGGAGGCAGCAGUGGGGAAUAUUGCACAAUGGGGGAAACCCUGAUGCAGCGACGCCGCGUGGAGGAAGAAGGUCUUCGGAUUGUAAACUCCUGUUGUUGAGGAAGAUAAUGACGGUACUCAACAAGGAAGUGACGGCUAACUACGUGCCAGCAGCCGCGGUAAAACGUAGGUCACAAGCGUUGUCCGGAAUUACUGGGUGUAAAGGGAGCGCAGGCGGGAAGACAAGUUGGAAGUGAAAUCCAUGGGCUCAACCCAUGAACUGCUUUCAAAACUGUUUUUCUUGAGUAGUGCAGAGGUAGGCGGAAUUCCCGGUGUAGCGGUGGAAUGCGUAGAUAUCGGGAGGAACACCAGUGGCGAAGGCGGCCUACUGGGCACCAACUGACGCUGAGGCUCGAAAGUGUGGGUAGCAAACAGGAUUAGAUACCCUGGUAGUCCACACCGUAAACGAUGAUUACUAGGUGUUGGAGGAUUGACCCCUUCAGUGCCGCAGUUAACACAAUAAGUAAUCCACCUGGGGAGUACGACCGCAAGGUUGAAACUCAAAGGAAUUGACGGGGGCCCGCACAAGCAGUGGAGUAUGUGGUUUAAUUCGACGCAACGCGAAGAACCUUACCAAGUCUUGACAUCCCUUGACGAUGCUGGAAACAGUAUUUCUCUUCGGAGCAAGGAGACAGGUGGUGCAUGGUUGUCGUCAGCUCGUGUCGUGAGAUGUUGGGUUAAGUCCCGCAACGAGCGCAACCCUUAUGGUCAGUUACUACGCAAGAGGACUCUGGCCAGACUGCCGUUGACAAAACGGAGGAAGGUGGGGAUGACGUCAAAUCAUCAUGCCCUUUAUGACUUGGGCUACACACGUACUACAAUGGCGUUAAACAAAGAGAAGCAAGACCGCGAGGUGGAGCAAAACUCAGAAACAACGUCCCAGUUCGGACUGCAGGCUGCAACUCGCCUGCACGAAGUCGGAAUUGCUAGUAAUCGUGGAUCAGCAUGCCACGGUGAAUACGUUCCCGGGCCUUGCAC
rnacentral:rRNA from 1 species